GUACUUCUGAAGAGUCCCAUACUGGGACGAAACGGUCGUCUAGUGC
rnacentral:hammerhead_ribozyme from 1 species